GACGAACGCUGGCGGCGUGCUUAACACAUGCAAGUCGAACGGAAAGGCCCUGCUUGCAGGGGACUCGAGUGGCGAACGGGUGAGUAACACGUGGGUGUUCUCCGCUGCAGAUCGGGAUAUGCUUGCAGAACUGGGGCUAAUACCGGAGAGGGGCGCUCUUGAGUGUGGUGGGGGGAAAGUUUUUUCGGGGUGGGGGGAGCUGGCGGGCUAUCAGCUUGUUGGUGGGGUAAUGGCCUACCCAGGCGGCGAAGGGGGGCCGGCCCGGGGGGGUGGACGGCCAAAAUGGGACUGGGAGACCGCCCAGGCGCCUACGGGAGGACGCAGUGGGGGAUAUUGCACAAUUGGCGGGAGGCUUGGGCAGCCACGGCGGGUGGCGGAUUAAGGCCUUCGGGUUGUAAACUCGUUUCGCUAGGUACGAAGGUGUGAGUGACGGUACCUGGAUAAGAAGCACCGGCUAACUACGUG
rnacentral:rRNA from 1 species